ACUCGAGUGGCGAACGGGUGAGUAACACGUGGGUGAUCUGCCCUGCACUUCGGGAUAAGCCUGGGAAACCGGGUCUAAUACCGGAUAGGAGCCAUUUUUAGUGUGAUGGUUGGAAAGUUUUUCGGUGUAGGAUGAGCUCGCGGCCUAUCAGCUUGUUGGUGGGGUAAUGGCCUACCAAGGCGGCGACGGGUAGCCGGCCUGAGAGGGUGGACGGCCACAUUGGGACUGAGAUACGGCCCAG
rnacentral:rRNA from 1 species